CUAUCAGAGGGGAAUAACCCGGCGAAAGUCGGACUAAUACCGCAUAAAACAGGGGUUCCACAUGGAAAUAUUUGUUAAAGAAUUAUCGCUGAUAGAUGGGCAUGCGUUCCAUUAGAUAGUUGGUGAGGUAACGGCUCACCAAGUCCACGAUGGAUAGGGGUUCUGAGAGGAAGGUCCCCCACACUGGUACUGAGACACGGACCAGACUCCUA
rnacentral:rRNA from 1 species